rnacentral:rRNA from 1 species
AGAGUUUGAUCAUGGCUCAGAUUGAACGCUGGCGGCAGGCCUAACACAUGCAAGUCGAACGGUAACAGGAAGCAGCUUGCUGCUUCGCUGACGAGUGGCGGACGGGUGAGUAAUGUCUGGGAAACUGCCUGAUGGAGGGGGAUAACUACUGGAAACGGUAGCUAAUACCGCAUAAUGUCGCAAGACCAAAGAGGGGGACCUUCGGGCCUCUUACCAUCGGAUGUGCCCAGAUGGGAUUAGCUUGUUGGUGGGGUAACGGCUCACCAAGGCGACGAUCCCUAGCUGGUCUGAGAGGAUGACCAGCCACACUGGAACUGAGACACGGUCCAGACUCCUACGGGAGGCAGCAGUGGGGAAUAUUGCACAAUGGGCGCAAGCCUGAUGCAGCCAUGCCGCGUGUAUGAAGAAGGCCUUCGGGUUGUAAAGUACUUUCAGCGGGGAGGAAGGGAGUAAAGUUAAUACCUUUGCUCAUUGACGUUAUCCGCAGAAGAAGCACCGGCUAACUCCGUGCCAGCAGCCGCGGUAAUACGGAGGGUGCAAGCGUUAAUCGGAAUUACUGGGCGUAAAGCGCACGCAGGCGGUUUGUUAAGUCAGAUGUGAAAUCCCCGGCUCAACCUGGGAACUGCAUCUGAUACUGGCAAGCUUGAGUCUCGUAGAGGGGGUAGAAUUCCAGGUGUAGCGGUGAAAUGCGUAGAGAUCUGGAGGAAUACCGGUGGCGAAGGCGGCCCCCUGGACGAAGACUGACGCUCAGGUGCGAAAGCGUGGGGAGCAAACAGGAUUAGAUACCCUGGUAGUCCACGCCGUAAACGAUGUCGACUUGGAGGUUGUGCCCUUGAGGCAUGGCUUCCGGAGCUAACGCGUUAAGUCGACCGCCUGGGGAGUACGGCCGCAAGGUUAAAACUCAAAUGAAUUGACGGGGGCCCGCACAAGCGGUGGAGCAUGUGGUUUAAUUCGAUGCAACGCGAAGAACCUUACCUGGUCUUGACAUCCACGGAAGUUUUCAGAGAUGAGAAUGUGCCUUCGGGAACCGUGAGACAGGUGCUGCAUGGCUGUCGUCAGCUCGUGUUGUGAAAUGUUGGGUUAAGUCCCGCAACGAGCGCAACCCUUAUCCUUUGUUGCCAGCGGUCCGGCCGGGAACUCAAAGGAGACUGCCAGUGAUAAACUGGAGGAAGGUGGGAUGACGUCAAGUCAUCAUGGCCCUUACGACCAGGGCUACACACGUGCUACAAUGGCGCAUACAAAGAGAAGCGACCUCGCGAGAGCAAGCGGACCUCAUAAAGUGCGUCGUAGUCCGGAUUGGAGUCUGCAACUCGACUCCAUGAAGUCGGAAUCGCUAGUAAUCGUGGAUCAGAAUGCCACGGUGAAUACGUUCCCGGCCUUGUACACACCGCCCGUCACACCAUGGGAGUGGGUUGCAAAAGAAGUAGGUAGCUUAACCUUCGGGAGGGCGCUUACCACUUUGUGAUUCAUGACUGGGGUGAAGUCGUAACAAGGUAACCGUAGGGGAACCUGCGGUUG